GAAAAACAGAGGCACUAUAAAAUAGAAUGGACAAACUUUAAAGUACAUGAUAUUGAAAGAGAGAUUCCAUUAAAUCAAGUAAAGGUCAUCUUUCUUUGAAAUAUAGAUUGUUCACCUGCACUCUUUAAAGAAGCACGGAUUGGAGAGCAAACUGAAAAGAGGCACCUUUCUCCCCACUCUUCAAAGUAAUAAGCAGUGAACUGAUGAUAGAUCACAACUUUGUAAUAUGCAUGCCAAUGAGUAAUUUUCCAAAAGAAUCAGUUUUAAGGAGGCAGAAUGGUGUGUGUGAAAGAACAUGGACUUUAUCAUCAAAGACAUCGUGUUUGUAUAUUGGUUUCAUUGAAUACUAGCUCUG